rnacentral:rRNA from 1 species
AGCCAUCAUUUAAAGAAAGCGUAAUAGCUCACUGGUCGAGUCGGCCUGCGCGGAAGAUGUAACGGGGCUAAACCAUGCACCGAAGCUGCGGCAGCGACGCUUAGCGUUGUUGGGUAGGGGAGCGUUCUGUAAGCCGUUGAAGGUGGCCUGUGAGGGUUGCUGGAGGUAUCAGAAGUGCGAAUGCUGACAUAAGUAACGAUAAAGCGGGUGAAAAGCCCGCUCGCCGGAAGACCAAGGGUUCCUGUCCAACGUUAAUCGGGGCAGGGUGAGUCGACCCCUAAGGCGAGGCUGAAAAGCGUAGUCGAUGGGAAACAGGUUAAUAUUCCUGUACUUGGUGUUACUGCGAAGGGGGGACGGAGAAGGCUAGGCUAGCCGGGCGACGGUUGUCCCGGUUUAAGCGUGUAGGGGGUGUGACCUGGUAAAUCCGGUUGCAUAUUAACCCUGAGGCGUGAUGACGAUGCACUACGGUGCAGAAGUAGUUGAUGCCCUGCUUCCAGGAAAAUCCUCUAAGCUCCAGGUAACAUUAAAUCGUACCCCAAACCGACACAGGUGGUCAGGUAGAGAAUACCAAGGCGCUUGAGAGAACUCGGGUGAAGGAACUAGGCAAAAUGGUGCCGUAACUUCGGGAGAAGGCACGCUGGCAUGUAGGUGAAGUCCCUCGCGGAUGGAGCUGAAGCCAGUCGAAGAUACCAGCUGGCUGCAACUGUUUAAUAAAAACACAGCACUGUGCAAACACGAAAGUGGACGUAUACGGUGUGACGCCUGCCCGGUGCUGGAAGGUUAAUUGAUGGGGUCAGCCGCAAGGCGAAGCUCUUGAUCGAAGCCCCAGUAAACGGCGGCCGUAACUAUAACGGUCCUAAGGUAGCGAAAUUCCUUGUCGGGUAAGUUCCGACCUGCACGAAUGGCGUAAUGAUGGCCAGGCUGUCUCCACCCGAGACUCAGUGAAAUUGAACUCGCUGUGAAGAUGCAGUGUACCCGCGGCAAGACGGAAAGACCCCGUGAACCUUUACUAUAGCUUGACACUGAACAUUGAGCCUUGAUGUGUAGGAUAGGUGGGAGGCUUUGAAGCGUGGACGCCAGUCUGCGUGGAGCCAUCCUUGAAAUACCACCCUUUAAUGUUUGAUGUUCUAACUCGGCCCCAUAAUCUGGGGUGAGGACAGUGUCUGGUGGGUAGUUUGACUGGGGCGGUCUCCUCCCAAAGAGUAACGGAGGAGCACGAAGGUUAGCUAAUCACGGUCGGACAUCGUGAGGUUAGUGCAAAGGCAUAAGCUAGCUUGACUGCGAGAGUGACGGCUCGAGCAGGUACGAAAGUAGGUCUUAGUGAUCCGGUGGUUCUGAAUGGAAGGGCCAUCGCUCAACGGAUAAAAGGUACUCCGGGGAUAACAGGCUGAUACCGCCCAAGAGUUCAUAUCGACGGCGGUGUUUGGCACCUCGAUGUCGGCUCAUCACAUCCUGGGGCUGAAGUAGGUCCCAAGGGUAUGGCUGUUCGCCAUUUAAAGUGGUACGCGAGCUGGGUUUAGAACGUCGUGAGACAGUUCGGUCCCUAUCUGCCGUGGGCGUUGGAAGAUUGAGAGGGGUUGCUCCUAGUACGAGAGGACCGGAGUGAACGCACCACUGGUGUUCGGGUUGUCAUGCCAAUGGCAUUGCCCGGUAGCUAAGUGCGGAAAAGAUAAGCGCUGAAAGCAUCUAAGCGCGAAACUUGCCUCAAGAUGAGUCUUCCCUGGGCCUUCAAGGCCCCUGAAGGAACGUUUAAGACUAAGACGUUGAUAGGCUGGGUGUGUAAGUGCAGCGAUGCAUUGAGCUAACCAGUACUAAUGAUCCGUGAGGCUUAACCUU